GAAUAUUGGACAAUGGGCGCAAGCCUGAUCCAGCCAUGCCGCGUGUGUGAAGAAGGCCUUCGGGUUGUAAAGCACUUUUGUACGGGAAGAACCCUUCCGGGCUAAUACCCCGGGAGAAUGACGGUACCGUAAGAAUAAGCACCGGCUAACUUCGUGCCAGCAGCCGCGGUAAUACGAAGGGUGCAAGCGUUAAUCGGAAUUACUGGGCGUAAAGCGCGCGGAGGUGGUUCAGUAAGUUGGAUGUGAAAUCCCCGGGCUCAACGUGGGAACUGCAUCCAAAACUGCUGAGCUAGAGUACGGUAGAGGGUAGUGGAAUUUCCUGUGUAGCGGUGAAAUGCGUAGAUAUAGGAAGGAACACCAGUGGCGAAGGCGACUACCUGGACUGAUACUGACACUGAGGUGCGAAAGCGUGGGGAGCAAACAGG
rnacentral:rRNA from 1 species